UACGGCGGCCACAGCGAGAGGGAAACGCCCGGUCCCAUCCCGAACCCGGAAGCUAAGCCUCUCAGCGCCGAUGGUACUGUUCUC
rnacentral:rRNA from 1 species